rnacentral:rRNA from 1 species
CUACGGAGGAUCCGAGCGUUAUCCGGAUUUAUUGGGUUUAAAGGGUGCGCAGGCGGGAGAUUAAGUCGGCGGUGAAAUUUUGCAGCUCAACUGUAAAAGUGCCUUCGAAACUGGUUUCCUUGAGUGUAGAUGAAGUAGGCGGAAUUUGUGGUGUAGCGGUGAAAUGCAUAGAUAUCACGAGGAACUCCGAUUGCGCAGGCAGCUUACUAAACUACUACUGACGCUCAGGCACGAAGGCGUGGGGAUCAAACAGGAUUAGAUACCCUGGUAGUCCACGCUGUAAACUAUGAUAACUAUCUUUUAGCGAUACACAGUUAGAGGGUACGAGAAAUCAUUAAGUUAUCCACCUGGGGAUUACGUUCGCAAGAAUGAAACUCAAAGGAAUUGACGGGG